UCGUAACAAGGUUUCCGUAGGUGAACCUGCGGAAGGAUCAUUGUCGAUGCCUGCGCAACGCAGAGCGACCGCGAACGAGUUAAGCCGCGGCACGCCCUCCCCCCGAAAGGAGAGGGGGGCGAGGCCGCGAAACAACAACGAAACCCCGGCGCAUACCGCGCCAAGGAAAACGAACGGACGCGGACCCGGCGCGCCCCGUCCGCGGGCAGCGCGCCGGGCCGGCUUCGGAAAGUCGAAACUUAACGACUCUCGGCAACGGAUAUCUCGGCUCUCGCAUCGAUGAAGAACGUAGCGAAAUGCGAUACUUGGUGUGAAUUGCAGAAUCCCGUGAACCAUCGAGUCUUUGAACGCAAGUUGCGCCCGAAGCCAUUAGGCCGAGGGCACGUCUGCCUGGGCGUCACGCAAAGCGUCGCCCCCUCCUCAUCCGUCAGCGGUGCGGCGGGGGCGGAGGAUGGCCCCCCGCGUCCCUUCGGGAACGCGGCCGGCCGAAAUUCGGAAUCGCCCCGACGACGGGUCGUCGCGACAGGUGGUGGAGUCCAUCGAUAUCAUGCUGUCGCGCUGGAACCCGUCCCGGAAAGCGGCUCCCCGACCCACGGCUACUUCCUCGAGAGAGGCAAAGGAGCAUCGAUCGCGACCCCAGGUCAGGCGGGACUACCCGCUGAGUUUAAGCAUA
rnacentral:rRNA from 1 species